rnacentral:rRNA from 1 species
AUUGAACGCUGGCGGAAUGCUUUACACAUGCAAGUCGAACGGCAGCACGGACUUCGGUCUGGUGGCGAGUGGCGAACGGGUGAGUAAUGUAUCGGAACGUGCCCAGUCGUGGGGGAUAACGUAGUGAAAAUUACGCUAAUACCGCAUACGAUCUAUGGAUGAAAGCGGGGGAUCGCAAGACCUCGCGCGAUUCGAGCGGCCGAUAUCAGAUUAGGUAGUUGGUGGGGUAAAGGCCCACCAAGCCAACGAUCUGUAGCUGGUCUGAGAGGACGACCAGCCACACUGGAACUGAGACACGGUCCAGACUCCUACGGGAGGCAGCAGUGGGGAAUUUUGGACAAUGGGCAAAAGCCUGAUCCAGCCAUUCCGCGUGCAGGAUGAAGGCCCUCGGGUUGUAAACUGCUUUUGUACAGAACGAAAAGGUUUCUACUAAUACUAGGAGCUCAUGACGGUACUGUAAGAAUAAGCACCGGCUAACUACGUGCCAGCCGCCGCAGUAA